UACGUAGGGUGCGAGCGUUGUCCGGAAUUAUUGGGCGUAAAGAGCUUGUAGGCGGUCUGUCGCGUCUGCUGUGAAAAUCCGGGGCUCAACCCCGGACUUGCAGUGGGUACGGGCAGACUAGAGUGUGGUAGGGGAGACUGGAAUUCCUGGUGUAGCGGUGAAAUGCGCAGAUAUCAGGAGGAACACCGAUGGCGAAGGCAGGUCUCUGGGCCACUACUGACGCUGAGAAGCGAAAGCAUGGGGAUCGAACAGG
rnacentral:rRNA from 1 species